UUGCUUUGGUUAGACUUCAUUGAUAUUUUGUUAUUCUUUAAUCCAGUUGUAAAGUUAUUAUUAAUCUUUGCAGUUGUUUUUCAAACAAGUACACCAGUUGUAUUCCUUCAGCUGGAAGGAGCUACUUCCACUACAUCUACCACAAAGGGUUGCAGUAGGCUAAGAAAUGUAAUCCCUGAUUACAAGAAGAUUUACAAGUCCUGUAUGGACCUUUUAUUCCAUUAAUUUGCCUCUAGCAUACUUUUUGAUGGAUAUCUUUAUUUCAAACAACAGCAGGAUUUCUCAACCCAUUUACUUACACUGCAAUACAUGGUUAAAAUCUGUUCGUUUCCAGGAGCUGUAUUGCUUAGGGUUUCAAUGUCCUUUAGGUGAUGGGACUUUUUUUACAUACAUUUGAUCAGAGUGCAGAAAACAUCUGAGCUUUAAUUUGUAAAUUAAAAUUACAGGUGGGUCAAAUAGAGAAAGGAAUACUUUAAAGCUUUGGUCCACAAGAAUAAAAGCUCUUAAUACCUCCCACCUGAAUAAUCAAAAGGAUCUUACCAGUAAAUCUUAGGCAGAGGUGGCAUGCCAGUGAUUACAUUAUAACCUCUUGAUUACCAUCGCAGGCAACUGGUUUGAGCAGGAACAGGUGGCAGGAUGUAAAAAUGCUACAAGUAUCGGAAGUACAACCAUGAAACAUUUAAUGAGUCUCAUCUGAGCUACCUUGCAACCAGCCAGGAAAUGGCUACAAAUGUGGCUGCAAGCAAGAAUUCAUAGAGGGAGUGAAAAUUUGACACUGAGACAGGUUAUGUGGAUUUAUCUCUCUUUCCCAAAGAGAUCUUCAGUGGCAUGUCACUCUUCAUCUGAAUAGAAUUAAAUGGAGUUCUGGAGUUUCAGAUUUGUUGGUAAGUCUGAAAAGUAAUACAAAUUCUAGGAGUCAAUUAGCAAUUGAAUUUAAAAUAUUUUCAUAGCACUUCUGAGGGAAAGUUAUUUUUAGAUUUAAAAUGGUUUCUGCAGGAUUUUUUAACCUUUGGAAGGUUCUUACAGGGCCGGGUGGUGUUGUCUGUACCUAUCGGUACACCUAUCAGUAUACAGCAGCCUUCACAAAUAAGCAUUUUGUAACAUUUGCUUCUGAGAAUUUACAUAACGUGGCACUGAUAGAAGGGAUGUGGCCCUUGAAAUAGUUGCAGAAGAGAGAGUAGGAUUUUGGAGCUGGUUUUGCCACCACCAGUCAUUCAGUUCCUACAGCACUUUGCCUGUUCAGAAUAAAAAUACUCAUUGUAAAGAAUGUGAGGCUAAAAUCAUAAAGUCCUUGAGAAUCUUAGAUGCAUGUAGUUGCAGAUGGUUUUAUAGACUAAAGCCAGGUCAGUUGCCAAUAGUAUCUCAUUUAAUAAAAGCUUUAAAUUCCUAAUUGCUACUGCAGUGGAAGCUACUCUUGAGUUGACUGGAAGUUUUCACUUCAGUGGAACUUUGCUUUUGUUCAUCCUACCUCUUUUGUCGAUACAAAAGUACAACAGAGUAACAAUCAAAAAUGUUUUAUACCCUUGCAUCUUUUAAUGCACAGAAGUGCCUCUUAGAAAACUUAGUAAUAAUUACCAAAACAAAAUUAUGAUUUAUGUUAAUGAUAGUUAAUGAUAGUACCUGACUUACAUUCCUUAAAAUAAGUUGUUUUCCCCAAGUUUAAAUUCUCAAAAUAAUCUGACAUGCCUCCAAGAUUUGUGAGCUUCUUAAAAGCUGUGAGAAACAACUUGUUAAAAAUCCUUAUGAACAUGAAAAUAAUAGAGUACAAAAACAGGCAUUUGUCUUUGUGCUAGCUUCAGGUUAUCAUCCAAAGAGCCACAAGGCCAUUUCUUUUCCCUUCCAACUCAAAUCUUUCUCUGCUAUUGUAAGACUUGCUAGACUGCAGCUAAGCACCAUUCUAUUCAGGAUAAACCUCAGUAAGACUGAGGUUCUCAGUGCCAUUUUUCAAGAAAUGUCUGUGGACUUAGAGCUGUUUAAGGAGUUGAGAUAUAAAUACUCAAGCUCUUACAUGGAUUAUAGACAUUUUCUUCCGAAGACAUACUGCAGGAUUUCUCAUUUGUGGUUUUUGGGGUUGAUGGGGUUUUUUGCUAGAUACCUUGCCUUUUUAAAAUGAACAGUAUUAUUUGGAUGGCCCUUAGGGAAAAGGCUUAAUGAAUACAUGCAUUUAAUCUUAAAACCCUCUGAAGAGUUUAAUAAAAAUACUGUCAAUUCUUUGCAA